rnacentral:lncRNA from 1 species
UAAAAAUCCUCUCAUCUAAGCUCUGCACUUAGUUAUUCCAGGUCAUAUGUAGUCCAUCAAACCAGAAAUACUGAAAAGUCAAUGAUAUUCAAUCUCAAAAAUGAGUAAAUUUUGCUGUGUGGCCAACAGGAUUAUGGCAUUGUCACAGCCAAGGAGUGCUUCAACAGGCUGGAUUGCCAUUUUUAGGACUCUUUCAGUUCAAACAUACCUCCUCUUCCUGCCAAAGCCGUGAGACAUCGUCUUCUCCACCAACUUGUCCAUGCCACGGUGAGAGGUUUCAAAUGUCCUUUACAUGGAGAAAAACCACAGUCCUGUUCCUGAGGCCUUUGACUGUCCAGACUUCUCUCUCCUUGCAUUUUGGCCACUGGUUGUACUCCUC